GCACUGCCUUUGAGCCCCCAUUGUGCCUGCAGGUGGCCUCAGGGCCAGGCUUCAGUGCCAGAACACUAGCUGAGGUCAUAAGU